UACAACAUGAAUCAAUAAAUUAAAGUCCCUUGCUGCUUCCUAAAUUAAUCUACUGUACAAAGAGUGGGAGCAGGUGAUAUUACUUUGCAGGCAGAGUGAAAUGACUCAUAUUAAACUGCUGAUCAAAACAUUUGCAGUCUAGAAAGUGUUGUUGAAUCUAAGAAGAGUUGUUGUGCACUAAGCAAAGAUAUAAAAAACUGGCAAAAUGUGCCAGUCUUAUCCUUCGCAUGGCACAAGACAGGCAGCCAAUCAGAUGUGUGCAAGCUCUCUUGCAGGCGAAUGAUAUGGAAUGUUGGCUGUCUUGUGGCCCCGCCUUCCGUCCCCACUGAACUGCUGUUGCCCAUAAUGAUUUUAUAAACAUUUUGCCAGCAGAUCAAUACCUGUAUUGAUCAGGCAUUGUGAGAGUGAUCCGUCUAAAACCCAGAACAGCCUAGAGCUCAGAGGUGGGAGGAGCAAAAGAGAGAGGCUGCAUAGAGGAUGGCAAAGGAGAGCGAGUCUGCAACCACAGUGAAAAGGAAAAGAGGUGGAAGGUUGGAAGAGACUGAGGGAGAGGCGGACGCAGAGAUGGAAGCAGGUGAGGAUGCAGAUUUCGGAAAACGCUGCUAGGCCGUUGGGACUAAGGAAAACAAAUGAAAGAAACUCUUGAAGAAGAGACGGAGGCAUCUGAGAGCACACAAUCUAAUUGCUGCAAAAUGAUCAAAACUUACAUUUCCUGAAACAUCCUUAACAUUCAGGAGAGGAAUAAUUCCACAUCAUCAUUAUGGAAGAAGAACUGCAAAAGCAUGUAAAGGCGAUGUUAAUACCAAAAGACAAACAUGGCAGUAUGAAGACCAUCUUCAACAUACAGGAUUGCUGCCGCUUUGUAAACACGUGGAUGGCUGGCUUUUUGGAUUACUUUUUACUGUCUGGGAAUUCACUAAAUUGGAUGAUUGCUUUACAUUUAAAACACAAGUAGGAGAUUUACUGAAGCGAUGACUCACUGGAUGACUCAACACAAGUACAAGGCCACAAUCUGCCCUGCGCUGGAGGACAAGUCAAAAGCUUUUGCUGUGAUUCCCUCGUGCUGUGGGGAAAUCAAGUUUCAUUGAUUGGUUUUUAAAUAAGAUGUGUUGUGCAUAAAUGAGGAUCUGAAGGAAGAUGAAUUCCUCAAACGAACUGUAGGGAAAGACCUUGAUGCACAUGAACUCAUGUGCUCUGGAGACUAGUGUGGAAGCACUCAAUGAAAAGGCCUGAUGGCUCAUGCCUCUCUGACCAAGCUAAAAAAAAAAAAAAAAAAAAAAGGACGUUGGCUUAUCAAGGCUUAUUAAGGGCAAGAGACACUUGUAAACAAUUUUCCUAAUGAAUUAACAAAAAACACACAUUGCACAUCUCAGAGGAUAAAGGAUUUAUGGUGACUUUUAAAUUUUGAUAAAAUUUUAUCAGCUGACCUUUUGAUACAAAUGAUGCAUUAUUGUGAGCCAAAAGGAAAAGGAUAGAAAGACUACACAAAUAAAAAUCUGAGAACUACGGUGUGUAUUUGAA